rnacentral:rRNA from 1 species
CUCUCGGGUGACGAGUGGCGGACGGGUGAGUAAUGUCUGGGAAACUGCCUGAUGGAGGGGGAUAACUACUGGAAACGGUAGCUAAUACCGCAUAACGUCGCAAGACCAAAGAGGGGGACCUUCGGGCCUCUUGCCAUCAGAUGUGCCCAGAUGGGAUUAGCUAGUAGGUGGGGUAACGGCUCACCUAGGCGACGAUCCCUAGCUGGUCUGAGAGGAUGACCAGCCACACUGGAACUGAGACACGGUCCAGACUCCUACGGGAGGCAGCAGUGGGGAAUAUUGCACAAUGGGCGCAAGCCUGAUGCAGCCAUGCCGCGUGUGUGAAGAAGGCCUUCGGGUUGUAAAGCACUUUCAGCGGGGAGGAAGGGGGUAAGGUUAAUAACCUUAUUCAUUGACGUUACCCGCAGAAGAAGCACCGGCUAACUCCGUGCCAGCAGCCGCGGUAAUACGGAGGGUGCAAGCGUUAAUCGGAAUUACUGGGCGUAAAGCGCACGCAGGCGGUCUGUCAAGUCGGAUGUGAAAUCCCCGGGCUCAACCUGGGAACUGCAUU